rnacentral:lncRNA from 1 species
UGCAAUGGUCUUGCUUUUCCAAGACUCACAGAGCCAGGUAGUUCCUGCUUCCUGCAGGGUUAAAUCACAGAUUGUGUGGAAGUGAAGCCUCCUGCCGCAUCCUUCUAUCAUACUACAGUUCUUUCCUUUUAGCACAAGUUCACUCAACUUAUGGAUCCAGGACCAGUUGACUGAAUUAAGAAACAAAGCUCAAUGAAAAUGAAGCUAAAUGAAAUAGAGAAGCUAAUUAGUCAAACUAAUUGAGUUUCCUUUUUUUUUUUAAGCAAUGCUAAGUAAUUUUUUUACUUGAUUUUUUAAAAAUGGGUAGCCUUUUUUGGUGAUGUAUAAACACAACCAAUGUUUUCCUCAACCGAAGGUAUCAAUGAAACUUUGCCUGAGUCCAUAGUGGUGCUAGCCAAAUGCAGCUGUAUUUAGUUUAGCAGUCCUUAAUAUGAGAAGGGAUUCUGAUCACAGAAUUGGUGUCUGUAAAUCCUAUUCACAUAUCAUCUUUGAUGGAACCUAAGUAACAUUUUCCUUACUGUCAAACCUUACAGUGAUUUCAAAAUCUAACAGAACUUGUCGCAUAGCAGGGGCUCAACAGCAGCCAGCCAGUUCCUCAUGGUUAGGUGAAGAAAGUAAAGCUAAGGUGCUCACAGAAGAAAGCAGGAUGUCAGAAACUCAUGCCCGCAAGACUGGAAUCAAAGCCAGAGGAAGCUGAAUGGAUCAAGAGAAAGAAAGCAAGGAAGGAAGAAAAGAAGGAAAGAAGGAAGCAACCAAGCCCCUUUGCCGAGGAGUAUUUUGUAUAAUUCAAAUGGAAUUGUAAUUCCCCACCAAUAAAACACCAUGUUCUAAACCUUCUAUAUCAUAGCCUAACGUGAAACAUUGGCCUUCUUUCUCCUUUGCCCCUCACUCAAAUGCCAGAGCCACUGUAGGGCAUGGCACAAAGAGGGAAACAGUGCUGUGGCAUUCUGAUUAGACUCUAACAAAAAAAAUUUUCCUAAACACUCUUUCACUAGUGGACAGUUCAAUAAAAGAGGGAACUGGGAAGACAGAACCUCCUGCACACUGUCAUUAAUGAACAUCCAGUCGACAUUGACCUCUGUGUAGUGCUGUGCUGGAUACCAUACAGAGCAGUUCACAGACACGCUCCCUGCUGCUCUUUAAAGUUGGCAAUUGAAAACAGAUGACAAUAGGCUGAGGAAAGUGAU